rnacentral:lncRNA from 1 species
CGGGUGGCGAGGGCCUGCGCGCCGGGGUGGAUUUCAGAGGGUCGGAAACGGAGCUCGUUUGCUUUGCUUUUGCAUUGCACUGGGACGACUUCCUUUAUGACCCGAGAUGAGACGCUGAAGGCGGUGCGCGCGUCUUGUGUUCUCACUCCUGUCCUCUUCUGCCCAGCUCCCAGUCGUGGCUCACCACGCGGGCCCUGCCCGAGCCGGGCCGGGCGCGUCUCUCCCGGCUGCGCUCUGCAGCUCGUCCCCGCGGGGCUGCUGCUCGGGUGCUUAGCGAGAAGCAGCCGCGAUCCCGACGACAACGUCUGGCGAAAGCCUUCUUCACAGUGCAGAGUGGCUGCGUUCGUGGUCAGUUCCAGACCAAGGCUGUUGAGGAGGUGCAGCCCUUUGGCGCACUCUCCUCAUGUAGCCGAAGACGGACAGUGAGGACGGUAACGGAGCUGGGUCUGGUGCUCAGGGCUGCAGAGCUGUGUGGAGGAGCUGCAGGGCCUUGAAUCACUGCAGGCAGAGGAGACUGUGGGCCUGGAACACCCUAAACUCUGACUGUUCUGGGAAAGAGGAAUAAGCCUUGUAUUUAUGUGAGCCACUUUGUAUUCUAGGUCUUUGACUUUUUUCAAGUCAUCCAAUUACCUUAAUUAACCCAUCUACUAAUAAAAAAUUUAAAAAAUGAG